UCCUUCCGUAUGGCGUACACUAACGACAGACCCCCCGGAAGUGGGGACACGGCUCUGUGACUCUGGAGCUGCUUCGAUAGUAAAGCAAGCGGGUAGACACCAUACGACAGGUUUCCAGUUAUUGAAAUGUCACUCUUGUGUAGCAGUUUGUGUCAAGAAAACUGAGCACGAAGCUUGCCAAAGCAGUUCACAGUGAGCAAGAGACUGUUAGAAGGUGAAGAUCGGGUGUUCAGAACUCCUGCUGUAAAAACUGGAUUCUGAGUUUCCGCUGUUUUAGAACAGAACAGGGCAUCGGCCCUGGCCCUGCGAUCGCUUGCAGAGGAAGCUUUGACUUGGCCAUGGCUGCGAGCCUGCUAUCUUAUCCGCUGAGAAGCGUGCCUCACUUGUCUAAUGGUAUCAGUAUAAGCCAUCAAAAACACCAGGCUGCUGGGCAGAAUUUUUUUUAAGAAUCAAAAUGUAGGAAACCUUUUUAAGGCUAGAAGAAAACAUGACAAUUCUGUUUAAUUUUAGGGGUAAGUACACUCCUCUCCCUCAACAACCGACAAAACAUCCAAGUAGAAAAUAACUACCAGGUAUAAAGAUUGGCCUGGCUGCGUAUUUCUUCUCCGUUCUAGGGGCAGAGGGAUAAACAACACUAAGCGCUUUUUCAGUAGGCGUGGCACUGUUCCAGCCAGAAAGCAGCGCUGUCACUUCACAGCCAGAGGCAGGAGGAAAGGAAGCAGGCCAGCAGCUGAGCAGGAGGAAAGGAAGCAGGCCAGCAGCUGAGCCGUCACGUAGCAGGGAGGCCCCGGUUGCACAACCCAUGAGUUUGAUGGUCACCAUUUUUAUUUUUUUACCAUGAUUUCCAAUUUCUUAAUGAUUUCCAUUUUGACAUGACUCUUUCAUAACUAGACUAUGACCAGUCUAGUUCACACAUAUAUGCCUCUCGUGAGUCUCCCUCGUUGUGCCAGUGUCCUUAGCAAGCUCUCUCUCUGCCCCCCAGUCUCCUGCUUGCACACCCCAGACCCGGUGCACAGCUAUCAAAGGGGAACAGCAUGGGCACCCUAUUAAGGAGAUGUGUACUGUCAGCGCUUUGGUUGACUUUUCUAAUGACUCAUAAGAAAAUAAUGUGGAUAAAAUUACACGUUCAAAGUUCGAUUUUAUUUCAAAAUGAUAAAUAAACCGGCAUAGUUCUGACUCUGUACUAUUUCAGAAAGGCUUGUGAAGUUCAUUAACAGUUUAGAGAGGGCUCCAGUCAGACCAGAAGGUUGCCAAUCAAACUUGUGAUUGGCAGAGACAGCAGCCUCUUUGAUCUUCAGAGGUUUGUAAAAGCUCUCCACCCUAAUUUCUGUGUAUCAUAAAAAGUAAAAA
rnacentral:lncRNA from 1 species